rnacentral:rRNA from 1 species
AGGACGAACGCUGGCGGCGUGCUUAACACAUGCAAGUCGAACGGAUUUAGAGAUGAGCUUGCUCAACUCUAAGUAGUGGCGCACGGGUGAGUAACACGUGGGUAACCUGCCUGUAAGACCGGGAUAACACCGGGAAACUGGUGCUAAUACCGGACGUGCUUGCGAGAAGGCAUCUUCUUGCAAGGAAACGGUGACGUAAGAAUCCGCUUACAGAUGGACCCGCGUCCCAUUAGCCUGUUGGUGGGGUAACGGCCUACCAAAGCUACGAUGGGUAGCCGGCCUGAGAGGGUGGCCGGCCACACUGGGACUGAGACACGGCCCAGACUCCUACGGGAGGCAGCAGUGGGGAAUCUUGCGCAAUGGGCGAAAGCCUGACGCAGCCAACGCCGCGUGGAUGAUGAAGGCCUUCGGGUCGUAAAAUCCUGUUGUAGGGGACGAAACCUCGUGAAAGCGAGCUGACGGUACCCUACGAGGAAGCCCCGGCUAACUACGUGCCAGCAGCGGC